rnacentral:rRNA from 1 species
CGGGGUGCGCAGGCGCGAAUACUUUACAAUGCUGGAAACAGCGAUAAGGGGACCUCGAGUGCCAGGUUACAAAUCUGGCUGUCGUGAUGCCUAAAAAGCAUUGCAUAGCAAGGGCCGGGCAAGACCGGUGCCAGCCGCCGCGGUAACACCGGCGGCUCGAGUGGUAACCGUUAUUAUUGGGUCUAAAGGGUCUGUAGCCGGCCGGAUAAGUCUCUUGGGAAAUCCAGCAGCUCAACUGUUGGGCUUUCAGGAGAUACUGUCUGGCUCGAGGCCGGGAGAGGUGAGAGGUACUUCAGGGGUAGGGGUGAAAUCUUGUAAUCCUUGAAGGACCACCAGUGGCGAAGGCGUCUCACCAGAACGGACCUGACGGCAAGGGACGAAAGCUAGGGGCACGAACCGGAUUAGAUACCCGGGUAGUCCUAGCCGUAAACGAUACUCGCUAGGUGUCGGCCACGGUGCGACCGUUGUCGGUGCCGUAGGGAAGCCGUGAAGCGAGCCACCUGGGAAGUACGGCCGCAAGGCUGAAACUUAAAGGAAUUGGCGGGGGAGCACAAA